UACAGAGGGGGCAAGCGUUGUUCGGAAUUACUGGGCGUAAAGGGCGCGUAGGCGGCCGCUCAAGUCGGGGGUGAAAUCUUUCAGCUUAACUGGAAAAUAGCCUCCGAUACUGGGUGGCUGGAGGGAGAUAGGGGUGCGCGGAACUUCCGGUGGAGCGGUGAAAUGCGUAGAUAUCGGAAGGAACGCCGGUGGCGAAAGCGGCGCACUGGAUCUCCACUGACGCUGAGGCGCGAAAGCCAGGGGAGCAAACGGG
rnacentral:rRNA from 1 species